UACGUACUCCCUCCGUUCGGAAUUACUUGUCUCGGAAAUGGAUGUAUCUAAAACUAAAAUACGUCUAGAUACAUCUAUUUCUGCGACAAGUAAUUCUGAACGGAGGGAGUAGUAA
rnacentral:pre_miRNA from 1 species